ACCCAUGGUCAUUCAUGUCCUUGAAAACACCGGUUCUCGUCCGAUCGCCGAAGUUAAGCAACGUCGAGCCUAGUUAGUACGUAGAUGGGUGACUGCUUGGGAAACCUAGGUACUGUAAACG
rnacentral:rRNA from 1 species